UUUAUCUUGGUGUAAGAAGCACGUAAAAUUUUGAUAUUUAAGGUAGUUAUUAGAU
rnacentral:tRNA from 1 species